ACCUGGGUGGCUUAGUCGGUUAAGCGUCCGACUUCAGCUCAGGUCACGAUCUCGCGGUCCGUGGGUUCGAGCCCCACGUCGGGCU
rnacentral:tRNA from 1 species